UCUCGGCAACGGAUAUCUCGGCUCUCGCAUCGAUGAAGAACGUAGCGAAAUGCGAUACCUGGUGUGAAUUGCAGAAUCCCGUGAACCACCGAGUCUUUGAACGCAAGUUGCGCCCGAGGCCAUCCGGCUAAGGGCACGCCUACCUGGGCAUCACG
rnacentral:rRNA from 1 species